UGGAGGGUUAGUGUCGUACCUUACUAUGUGAAUACUCACCCUCCAGCUAUUCAAAAACAGCAUUGACACUCGAGGGAAUGCACGCAGGUUCCAAUCCUGUAUUUGUUUUAAAAUUUUAUUUUCUCUCAAAAAGUCUGAUGGUAGUAAACCCCGUAGUUUGGACUUACCACCUCCAAAUUAUCGCUGGAAAAAAUAAGUUGUGAUCAUAUUUCUAUAGUAAUGUAUUGCCAGGAUAUAGCAGUUGCCUGUUUAUACGAUAAAUCCUUGCAUGGGAGUUCUUAUGUGUAAAACACGAUACGUUGGCGAACUGACUGAAUAUAUUCACAUUUGUCAUGAGCUGUCCUCUCACCAGGGCAGAAACGUCUCAAACCAUGAGUGGAAAAUAUCCUCAGGGUUGUGGCUUUCAGAAAGGUUGACUACCACGAUAUUUCUUAAUAUCGUUUUCGUUUCACAAUCUCUGGCCGCCAGUUAAUUGGAUGAGUCUCCUCAGUC